UGUUCUGUGGCUCAGUUGGUUAAAGCGCCGGUCUAGCGAAUACGGAGUCGUGGGUUCGAAUCCCACCAGAACGC
rnacentral:tRNA from 1 species